AGGAUGACUGCUCCCUUACCCACCUGAAUCUGGCGGGAAAUGGACUGAUGGACAGCGUGGCCACCCUCUCCAAGUGUCUGCAGACCUGUCAGGGAACUCGGCAGUGACCUCAGCGGGACUCUACAGCCUUCUUUCCUCCCAGCGACCUUUGACCUAUCUCAACCUCCAAGAUACUUCAGACCCUGGGACAGGUGUAGUUUGGAAGGCCUGUCGGAACAGGUCCAGGACCUGUGGCUGUGCUCCCAGAUGCUCAACAAACUGGACCGCCAGGCGCUGCAGCAGACCCGGGACCAGAGGAGGCCCGUGGGCUGCUUGCUCUCCAGAGAUGCCAAGUCCCUGCUCACUACUGUCCCCUCACUGUAAGGAAGACUCCUUGAGUACUCACACCUUUUAAAGACUGGUGUCGCUUGGAUUCCAAUGCGUACACUUGAGGUAAUUUACAUUCCUUGGUCCUCAUAUUUGAGUCAUCUUUUGAUGACACAAGCUGCAGAGUGAUCUCUGCGUUAAUAUGUUGUAGGCGUUAUGUAGAUAUACUUAUUUCAGGGUGUGUUUGUGUGUGCGGUUAUACAUUGUGUAUGUGUAUUGUCUAUGUUUUUGUAAGUGUUCAAUGGGAAACAAAAAAUGUUAAUUGAAUGAAAUUCUCAUUAUUUUCGGACUGUUUAUUGCCAUGGGGCUUUUUUACAUGCAGCCUCCCAACAUUUGCUUACUGACUGAAGAAAUGGUCAAGCUGAGAAAUGAUUAAAUCCCUCCAUUUUGUCAUGUUCCCCCUAGUCUAUUCCCACAGCCGCUGUAUCUUCGACUCAACUCUGGGGGUGGAAAGUCAUGAUUCUUGCAAGUGAAACAAUGUUCGCAACUUGGUGCGAGUUUGUAAAGACACACAGCUUCACACUUUGGCCUUCUUCUCACUGUUUAAUGUUUCCACAAAGGAGGGUGUUGGGUGGGCUUCAAGAUACUGUGGGAAAGUGCCUAGUCACACAUCAGUGUUGUCAGAUCAGUGUAUCACUAUAUCACUCAGAGAUUGGACCAAGGCGAUUAUGUCCAGGAUAACUAACUUCAUCACCUUUUAUUGUAAUUUCAAAUUUAUAAAAAGCAAUUACUAAAUGGUUUCUGUUAGUGCAACUUGUGUAUGGUGCUACUGCCACCUUGUUAACUAUUUAAGCAUACUGUAACGGCUGUUGCAGGGAGUAGACCAAGGCUCGGCGUGGAGAGUGCUCAUCAUUUAAUUUUAAUAGAACACUUUAAACAAAACAAGAAAAUGAACGACAGCCAAACAGUUCUUUCAGGAACAUCAACUCUAAACAGAAAUUAACCACCCACAAAACCCAAAGGAAAACAGGCUGCCUAAGUAUGGCUCCCAAUCAGAGACAACGAUCUACAGCUGUCCCUGAUUGAGAACCAUACCCGGCCAAAACGAAGAAAUACAAAACAUAGAAAAAAGGACAUAGAAUUCCCACCCUAGUCACACCCUGGCCUAACCAAAAUAGAGAACAAAACCCGCUCUAUGGCCUGGGCGUGACACAUACCCAUUUGUGUAAAGGGCUGCUAACCACACAAUUAUGGUCGGGGACAUUUUUUUUUUUAAACGUGCACAAACCUUUUCACAGUUUGAAAGAUGUAGUAUGCAUCCGACACAAAUCUGGGGGUGGAGCGUCAUGAGUCUUGUAAGUCAGACAAUGUUCCCAGCCAAAUUGGUUUGAGCUUCUAAAGACACACAGCUUCUCACUGUGGUUUCCUUGUUAGUUAACCCACUGACUGGCUGCCUUCUCACUGUUUAAUAUUUCCACAAAGGAGGGUGUUGGGUGAACUUCAAGAUACUGUGGGAAAGUGCCUAGUCACACAUCAGUGUAUCACUAUAUCACUCAGAGAUUGGGCCAAGGAAAUUAUGGUUAGGAUUACUAAUUUCAUCACCUGUUAAUUGUAAUUUCCAAUUUAUAAAAAGCAAUUACUAAAUGGUUUCUGUUAGUUCAACCUGUGGAUGGUGCUACUGCCACCUUGUUAACUAUUUAAGAAUAACCAUUUGUGUAAUAGGGCUGCUAACCUGGGUUGUAAUGUUCACUGGGGAUGGGGUGGUCAUGUCCUCCCACAUUCUGAAAUUGCAUCCCCCCCCACACAGUUUUAUCAUUGCAAUAUGAUACAAAAAGUGGCAAUGGUGUGCUUUUGGACAAUGCGGAUGCUUCCAAGCAGGAGGGUAGGCUGUUUUCAGUUUCAGUCGGCUGGAUUUAGAACCCCACGGACACCAAAAAGUGGUCUGACAGGCUGUGUGAAGGCAAAGCUUCCUUGAAGGCUGGCUGGUCCACCACGGGAGAGUUGAGCAUAGUUCAGUGUGUAUGUGUUGUGCUCUUUCACUGAGUUGUAAAAGAAAGCAGAGCUAGUGAACUAGUGUUUAUUUGCAGUGCCUACCGUGCUGCAAUGAUCUCUUUUGUGACCUGCAGAUCCUGCAGGUAUCCCGUGGGAAUGCAGCCCUCUGAUGCAGUCAGAAAACACUGCUCAUCAUGUCUUAGCAGGAUCAGAUGGUGACAGGGGUCCCAGCAGGGUCAGACAGCCAGGGAUGACCAGUCUACGGAGCUCAGGAGUAUCAGAUGGUGACAGGGGUCUCAGCAGGGUCAGGCAGCCAGGGAAGACCAGUCUGAUGGAGGUGAGGCUAAUUUUUGCAGAUACAACACUUUAUUCCCUCUGUGCAGCAAACACUGGUCAAGCCUGAUGCUAUUUUAAGGCAGUCUGACAAAACUCCAAAGUUGAUUUCCAAACUAUAUCAAGGGUUGAUAGAGGCUUUACCCAAUGACACAAAACAAAAAUGUGAGGAAGACCUGGUAAAAUCUAUUGUUGAUGAUGAAUGUGUACAGAUUUCUCUGAAUGCCCAGACAUGUUCAUAUCAUCUCAGACAUAAAUUACUGCAGUUUAAGACCAUCCAUAGAAUGCACUAUAUUCCAUUGAAACUGAAAUACAGGCACUCAGAAAUGUAAUUCCUCUGCUGUAGGUGUAAAACACAAAAGAGGACACAUUUGCAUGUUAUGGUCUCGUGAAGGCUUUCUGAAUUCUGGCAAAGAGUAUGUUAUCUCAGCAUCUCUACAGAUUCUCCCUGUCUUUGUUUACUUGGAAAUGUUGAUACUGGAGACUUAUCUGAAGAAACUGUGUAACCAAGUAUUUAUAGUGGUUAAUAAAUGCAUUACCAUUAAUUGGAAGGUUGAUUGUCCUCUCACAAUGUCAAGUUAUGUAUCACUAUAUUUUAUUUAUUACAAGAUUAAGGGUAUACUGGGGAACUUUCAUAAGGUCUGGAUGCCUUUUAUGGAAUACAGUAUGACAAAAGUAGUCUGUAUUGAAAACAUGCCCACGUCAGGGAGAUACGGUAGCUGUUUAGGCAAUCCCUAGCUGCUGCGUUGCCAAAAUGUAAUAUAAAGGGCUGUUCUUUUGUUAGGCUAUUGGUUAUAGGCGCACCUCAAUAUUUAUUAUUUAAUUAACCUUGAUCUAUUUCAGUCCUAUUAAUCACUUAAACAUAAUUAAUAAUGAUCUCUUAUCUAGGUUGAUGACUGUUGGUGUUUUGUUUACUUUUUGUUCUAAAUAGUAACAGCAUAUUGGAUUGUCUAAAAAUGCGGGAAAAGAGCUGUAGAUGCCCCCCCCCCACCCCCCAAAAACGGCAGAUUAUGUCCCCCCCUCCAGCUCUAAAACCAAAGAGGCGCCAGUGCUGCCAACAACACUAUUAUGGUUGAGGAUGUUUUAAAAAAAAAUUUAAAAAAUUGCACAAACGUGUUCAGUUUGAAAGAUGUAGUAUACAUUCAUUCUGAAAUACUUCCCACAGCUGCUGUCUAACCUGAGUGAGGCCAGUCAUACUAAGACAUGCAUGUGGUUGUGCUCAAGUCUAGCUGGAAGUCAAGUUUUAAUGUCACAUGCACAAGUACAGUGAAAUGACUUUCUUGCAAACCCAAUACCCAAAAAUGCAAUAAUCAAUAUCAAUGUAUUCAAUAGAGGAACAAAUGUAGUGAUGUAAGUAGGAUUUAGUCCCUGUAAGUAGGAUUCAUGUCAACUAGUAAUGUUUAAGCUGGAGGCCAAGCUGAGAACUCAACACUGACAUAUUGAUAGUGAUAGUACUACAGUAUGUCUAACUGCCUGGUUAAGGGUAUACCAUGAGAUCUGGGAUUUGAUUUGUCCCUUGCUGAUAAAGGAGAAGAUGGUUCUAAUUGGUCCUUAGUGUGUUCCACAGAAUGACUGCUCCCUGACCCAUUUGAGCCAGGUGGGAAAUGGACUGAUGAACGGCAGCGUGGCCACCCUCUCCAAGUGUGUGUUAAUGGUUUCUCUCAAUGUAUAGCACCCUUGUCCUUCUGUAUUUAGCUAGUUGAGCUGCCUGGGUCUUUUCCAAGUGUCUGCCCUGUACCUUACCUCUGGUUCAUGUGACCUGACUGUCCAGUACUGAGAUCUGUGUGUCCAGGUGUCUGCCUGUCUGUCCCUCCAUGGUUUCUGUGGACCUGUCAGGGAACCUGGCAGUGACCUCAGCGGGACUCCACGGUCUCCUCUCCACCCAGCGACCUUUGACCUCUCUCAACCUCCAAGAUACAGUAGGCCUAUAGUAGACUGUUGGUUCUGCCACGAACCGGCUCGAAGCCUGUAACAAAAAGGGGAGACAACGUAGAGAUAAAGAAUAACAAAAAUAUAUUUACGACGGAAGUAACCUAUAUACACUAAACAAUGGUAUAUGUAGUCAGUAGUGUAAGAGUGGUUGCAUGCCUAGAUGUGAUAAUGAGGGGUGUUGAAGGGUGCCAAUGCAAACAAACAAAACAGCCACAAAAUUGCCACAAUCAAAAUUCAACAGUGUGUCUGGAUGGAGGGAGGGAAAGGUGUAUUUAUCCCGGGACACACCCAUGCCCAGGUGUGUCCCAUUUCGCUGACGACCCUCCCGGCUCCGCCCACCGACAUCCUAUUAAGGAAAACAUGAGCAAAGAGAGAGAAUUCGGCAGACAGAGUGGGAGGUUCGUCACAGUUCUCAUUCCCUCUAAAUUGUUCCCUCUCUUUUCUUUCUUCAGGUUAUCAGGUAGCCGGGUAAACCAGGUAAACCCUUAGGACAGGUCUAUUUUGGACGGCCUGUCAGAGCAGGUCCAGGACCUGCGGCUGUGCUCCCAGAGGCUCAACAAACUGGACUGCGAGGCCCUGCAGCAGACCUGGGGCCAGAGGAGGCCCGGGGGCUGCUUACUCUCCAGAGAUGUCAAGUGCCUGCUCACUACUGCCCCCUCACUGUGAGGAAGAUUCCGUGAGUUCUUGUACACCCUUAAAGAAUUGUGUCGCUUGGAUUCCAAUGUGUACACUUGAGAUGAUUUACGUUCCUUGGUCGUCAUAUGAGGCAUCUUUUGAUGACACAGGCUGCAAUAUUUUGUAUGCAUUAUGUAGAUAUACGUAUUUCAGUGUGUGUUUUGGGGUGCGUUUAUACAUGUGUAUGUUUUGGAAAACCCCCAAAAUUAAGUGAAAAUAAUUAUUAUUAUUUCUGGACUGCUUAUCGCCAUGGUGCUUUUUUUCCAUACAACUUCCCAACAUUUUCUGACUGACUGAAUGGUCAAGCUUCCCUCUGGUUUACUUGUUAGUUAUCCCACUGACUGGCCUUCUUCUCACUGUUUAAUAUUUCCACAGAGGAGGGUGUUGGGUGGGCUUCAAGGUACUGUGGGAAAGUUCCUAGUCACACAUCAGUGUUGUCACCUCAGUGUAUCACUAUAUCACUGGACCAAGGUGAUUAUGUCUAGGAUAACUAAUUUCAUCACCUGUUGUUGUAAUUUCCCAUUUAUAAAAAGCAAUUACUAAAUGGUUUCUGUUAGUUCAACUUGUGAAUAGUGUCACUGCCACCUUGUUAGCUGUUUAAGCAUACCCAUUUGUUUGAAGUACUGCUAACAAGGGGCACAACUUUCACUGGGGAUGGUGCGGUCAUGUCCCCCUAGAAGAAAAAGAAACGCACACCUAUUAUGGCGAGGUGCUGGCUAGCGGAGUAGAAAACUUGAAAAUAAGGGAGAGCCGCACACUCUAGGAGCUCAGAUGCAACAUUUUUAUAUCCAACGUUUCGACAGCCAAGCUGUCUUCAUCAGGGUAUGAUCACAAACACUGCGAGAUGACUAGUUUAUAUAUUGUCAAAAGACACACAGGUGUCUGUAAUCAUGGCCAAGUGUGGCCUAAUAUUAUUGGUUAAUUCUCAAAUAUAAAAAUGGCAUACAAAAAACACCAUACAAAAAAACAAAUGGAUAGCAUACGAUCAUAGAAUCAUUUUAGACUACACAAGCUUACAAACAAUUACAAUGGCAAAGUCACAAGAAUGGCUUAAGAUCAAAGUCCAUGUUGAGACCGAAGGGUGCAAGGGUCUUAAAGUUAAAGAUCCAGGCAGCCUCUCGUUUUAACAAUAAAUUAUCAAGGUCACCCCAUCUCCUAUGGAGGGUGACAUGUUCAAUGCCAAUAUAACGCAGAGACGAAAUCGAGUGGUUUGCUUCCAAAAAGUGGGCCGCAACUGGGUAAUUCAAGUUUUUGCACCUAAUGGUGCUACGAUGCUCUGAG